GACGAAGGUGGCAAGCGUUGUUCGGUAUUACUGGGCUUAAAGCGUGUGUAGGCGGAAUGGUAAGCGUCCUGUGAAAUCCCUCGGCUUAACCGAGGAAUUGCUUGACGAACUACCUUUCUUGAGGCAGAUAGGGGUGCGCGGAACUCUUGGUGGAGCGGUGGAAUGCGUAGAUAUCAAGAGGAACGCCGGUGGUGAAGACGGUGCACUGGGUCUGUUCUGACGCUGAGACACGAAAGCGUGGGGAGCGAACGGGAUUAGAUACCCCCGUA
rnacentral:rRNA from 1 species